rnacentral:rRNA from 1 species
GACGAACGCUGGCGGCGUGCUUAACACAUGCAAGUCGAACGGAAAGGCCCUGCUUUUGUGGGGUGCUCGAGUGGCGAACGGGUGAGUAACACGUGAGUAACCUGCCCUUGACUUUGGGAUAACUUCAGGAAACUGGGGCUAAUACCGGAUAGGAGCUCCUGCUGCAUGGUGGGGGUUGGAAAGUUUCGGCGGUUGGGGAUGGACUCGCGGCUUAUCAGCUUGGUGGUGGGGUAGUGGCUUACCAAGGCUUUGACGGGUAGCCGGCCUGAGAGGGUGACCGGCCACCUUGGGACUGAGAUACGGCCCAGACUCCUACGGGAGGCAGAAGUGGGGAAUAUGGCACAAUGGGCGGAAGCCUGAGGCAGCAACGCCGCGUGCGGGAUGACGGCCUUCGGGUUGUAAACCGCUUUCGCCUGUGACGAAGCGUGAGUGACGGUAAUGGGUAAAGAAGCACCGGCUAACUACGUG